AGGUUCGGUGUUGAGCGCAGCGAAACAACGGAGCCGGUUACGGCGACGGCCCGAAGGGCGAGCGAAGCGAGUCAUCCUGCACGACCCACCA
rnacentral:sRNA from 1 species